rnacentral:rRNA from 1 species
GAUGAACGCUGGCGGCGUGCCUAAUACAUGCAAGUCGAGCGAACAGACGAGGAGCUUGCUCCUCUGACGUUAGCGGCGGACGGGUGAGUAACACGUGGAUAACCUACCUAUAAGACUGGGAUAACUUCGGGAAACCGGAGCUAAUACCGGAUAAUAUAUUAAACCGCAUGGUUCAAUAGUGAAAGACGGUUUUGCUGUAACUUAUAGAUGGAUCCGCGCCGAAUUAGCUAGUUGGUAAGGUAACGGCUUACCAAGGCAACGAUGCGUAGCCGACCUGAGAGGGUGAUCGGCCACACUGGAACUGAGACACGGUCCAGACUCCUACGGGAGGCAGCAGUAGGGAAUCUUCCGCAAUGGGCGAAAGCCUGACGGAGCAACGCCGCGUGAGUGAUGAAGGUCUUCGGAUCGUAAAACUCUGUUAUUAGGGAAGAACAAAUGUGUAAGUAACUAUGCACGUCUUGACGGUACCUAAUCAGAAAGCCACGGCUAACUACGUG